ACGGGUGAGUAAUGCCUAGGAAUCUGCCUGGUAGUGGGGGACAACGUUUCGAAAGGAACGCUAAUACCGCAUACGUCCUACGGGAGAAAGCAGGGGACCUUCGGGCCUUGCGCUAUCAGAUGAGCCUAGGUCGGAUUAGCUAGUUGGUGAGGUAAUGGCUCACCAAGGCGACGAUCCGUAACUGGUCUGAGAGGAUGAUCAGUCACACUGGAACUGAGACACGGUCCAGACUCCUACGGGAGGCAGCAGUGGGGAAUAUUGGACAAUGGGCGAAAGCCUGAUCCAGCCAUGCCGCGUGUGUGAAGAAGGUCUUCGGAUUGUAAAGCACUUUAAGUUGGGAGGAAGGGCAGUAACUUAAUACGUUGCUGUUUUGACGUUACCGACAGAAUAAGCACCGGCUAACUCUGUGCCAGCAGCCGCGGUAAUACAGAGGGUGCAAGCGUUAAUCGGAAUUACUGGGCGUAAAGCGCGCGUAGGUGGUUCGUUAAGUUGGAUGUGAAAUCCCCGGGCUCAACCUGGGAACUGCAUUCAAAACUGUCGAGCUAGAGUAUGGUAGAGGGUGGUGGAAUUUCCUGUGUAGCGGUG
rnacentral:rRNA from 14 species